AUCUGCUCCAGUUUGCAACAUACCACGAGGCAAAGAUUAAAUCUCAGUUGUACCAAGAAGCUAAGAGCUUGCUGCAGAGCUACUUAGAGCAACACAGCUAUGGAUCAUGGAUUGUGAAGUCUCCACAUAUUGAACAGUUCAGUGAUUGAUGGCGUUGGAUUGAAUGUUAAGUCGGUUUGAACGAUCUGUUUCAGUAAAUAUAGUUCUGAGUAGUAAAAUGUUAAGUUCGUAGUUACAGGAAGAAAACAAUUCCAGUACUGCUUCUUGUCAGUUUAAAUGCGGUUAUUAACCACCUGUAACAGUUCUGUCUUUUCCUAAAAUGGAUGUUUUCUCAUAGGUGGGAGUAUCCAAGAGCUUUGUAAAUCUUUGUUCUGCUUUGCCCACCAAUGGUUCCUCAUUGCAGCUCACUGACCCCGACUCCUACAAAUCCCCGCCCUGUGGAGUUAACAUGGUUUUUUUCCUGAUAGUUUCAGGACUUCUGUAUAUUGAUUUCUUACUCUUUGUGCCUUUCUCUUAACUUUAAAAAAGAAAAAAACAACAGUAAAAGCUGUAUUUCUUUAAAAAACAAGCUUACCUCUGUGAGAGGUUUUCAGGAAAGAAACAAAGAAACGGGCAGUCUGUGCUUUAUCUGUAGGUAUCCGUCCUUUGCUUGAGAGUUUUGUUCAGUGUCAGUUUGCCAAGUGGCUUAUAGUUUAUGUUGUUUGUGCUAGAAGAGUUAAAAAAUAAUUUUUGUACUUACGAAUAUGAAACCUGGAAUGACCAGCUGUUA